rnacentral:rRNA from 1 species
GACAGAGGGGGCAAGCGUUGCUCGGAAUUACUGGGCGUAAAGGGCGCGUAGGCGGGAUGGCAAAUCGGUCGUGAAAUCCUUCGGCUCAACCGAAGAACGUCGAUCGAUACUGCUGUUCUUGAGGGUUGCAGAGGAGACUGGAAUUUACGGUGUAGCAGUGAAAUGCGUAGAGAUCGUAAGGAAGACCAGUGGCGAAGGCGGGUCUCUGGACAGUUCCUGACACUGAGGCACGAAGGCCAGGGGAGCAAACGGG